rnacentral:rRNA from 1 species
UACGUAGGGUGCGAGCGUUAAUCGGAAUUACUGGGCGUAAAGGGUGCGCAGGCGGUUCUUCAAGUCAGGCGUGAAAGCCCCGGGCUUAACCUGGGAAUGGCGCUUGAAACUACAGGACUGGAGUAUGGCAGAGGGAGGUGGAAUUCCACGUGUAGCGGUGAAAUGCGUAGAGAUGUGGAGGAACACCGAUGGCGAAGGCAGCCUCGUGGGCCAAUACUGACGCUCAUGAACGAAAGCGUGGGGAGCAAACAGG